GAUGAACGCUGGCGGCGUGCCUAAUACAUGCAAGUCGAGCGAACAGACGAGGAGCUUGCUCCUCUGACGUUAGCGGCGGACGGGUGAGUAACACGUGGAUAACCUACCUAUAAGACUGGGAUAACUUCGGGAAACCGGAGCUAAUACCGGAUAAUAUAUUGAACCGCAUGGUUCAAUAGUGAAAGACGGUUUUGCUGUCACUUAUAGAUGGAUCCGCGCCGCUUUAGCUAGUUGGUAAGGUAACGGCUACCAAGGGAACCAUGCGUAGCCGACCUGAGAGGGUGAUCGGCCACACUGGAACUGAGACACGGUCCAGACUCCUACGGGAGGCAGCAGUAGGGAAUCUUCCGCAAUGGGCGAAAGCCUGACGGAGCAACGCCGCGUGAGUGAUGAAGGUCUUCGGAUCGUAAAACUCUGUUAUUAGGGAAGAACAAAUGUGUAAGUAACUAUGCACGUCUUGACGGUACCUAAUCAGAAAGCCACGGCUAACUACGUG
rnacentral:rRNA from 1 species